CCAUUUCUCGUUUGGAAAAAGGGUCGAGCCACUCAGCCUCCUUCAAUCCCACCACUAAACCUAUUCUUCUUUCUCUUUCACUGCAACCUCUUUCCCCUUUAAUGGAGCCUCGGUUCUCUUUCGUUGAGCUUUCGUAGGUCGCGCAUUGAAACUCUAAUUUUCCCUCAUUCGAACCAUCAUUGUGCGACCUUAGCACCGUGGUUAAUUGCUUUUGUUGCAGUAAAAAAUAUAUACUUUUCGUGCUUGCGUUUUGAUUUCCGCGAUGGCGUCCAAAGGUCCCAGAUCGAAGAUUGAUCAUGAGAGCAGAGCCAAACUACAAAAGGUUUCAUUUAAUUUGCUUGAGAUGUACUUGGAAGCACACUCAUGAGCCUCCAUGUGGGAAAAUGAGCUCUUGGAUGUAGGCUACCAUCCUCUGUGCAUCCAGAUUCCCUACACAGUAAGGCUCUUAAUUUUGAACCAGGAACUUCAGCCUCACGUUUUGUUUCCUUAGUUGGUAUAAGGCUUACUCCUUGCAUAUUAUUUUUGUUAGAAGUGGACUUUAAGCCUAACUCAACCCCACAAAACCGACUUGUAAGGUGAGGUUUGCACCCACUUAUAAACUAUGAAUUGACCUUAUCUCUAGUCGAUGUGGGACUUCCAACAAUUUUCUCUAUUAGUUGUGUACUCUUUGUGUUAGA